AUUGAACGCUGGCGGCAUGCUUUACACAUGCAAGUCGAACGGUAACAGGCCUUCGGGUGCUGACGAGUGGCGAGCGGGUGAGUAAUGCAUCGGAACGUGCCCAGAGGUGGGGGAUAACGCAGCGAAAGCUGUGCUAAUACCGCAUGUGAUCUGAGGAUGAAAGCGGGGGACCAAGCAGCAAUGUUUGGCCUCGCGCCUCUGGAGCGGCCGAUGUCAGAUUAGGUAGUUGGUGGGGUAAAGGCCUACCAAGCCGACGAUCUGUAGCUGGUCUGAGAGGACGACCAGCCACACUGGGACUGAGACACGGCCCAGACUCCUACGGGAGGCAGCAGUGGGGAAUUUUGGACAAUGGGCGCAAGCCUGAUCCAGCAAUGCCGCGUGCGGGAAGAAGGCCUUCGGGUUGUAAACCGCUUUUGUACGGAACGAAAAGGCUCUGGCUAAUACCUGGGGCUGAUGACGGUACCAUAAGAAUAAGCACCGGCUAACUACGUG
rnacentral:rRNA from 1 species